GACGAACGCUGGCGGCGUGCUUAACACAUGCAAGUCGAACGGAGUGCUCAUGACAGAGGUUUCGGCCAAUGGAUUGAGUUACUUAGUGGCGGACUGGUGAGUAACGCGUGAGGAACCUGCCUUUCAGAGGGGGACAACAGCUGGAAACGGCUGCUAAUACCGCAUGACGCAUGACCGGGGCAUCCCGGACAUGCCAAAGAUUUUAUCGCUGAAAGAUGGCCUCGCGUCUGAUUAGAUAGUUGGCGGGGUAACGGCCCACCAAACCGACGAUGGAUAGGGGUUCUGAGAGGAAGGUCCCCCACAUUGGUACUGAGACACGGACCAA
rnacentral:rRNA from 1 species